UUGAAUUUCUUCACUUUGACAUUCAGAGUGUUGAUACCUUAAGUGUUGGAUUGUUCACCCACCAAUAGGGAACGUGAGCUGGGUUUAGACCAUCGUGAGACAGGUU
rnacentral:ncRNA from 1 species